CGCACGGGUGCGUAACGCGUAUACAAUCUACCUUUUACAGUGGGAUAGCCUUUAGAAAUGAAGAUUAAUGCCGCAUAGUAUGUUUAGAUGGCAUCAUUUAAAUAUUAAAGAUUUAUCGGUAAAAGAUGAGUAUGCGUUCUAUUAGCUAGAUGGUAAGGUAACGGCUUACCAUGGCAACGAUAGAUAGGGGCCCUGAGAGGGGGAUCCCCCACACUGGUACUGAGACACGGACCAG
rnacentral:rRNA from 1 species